rnacentral:rRNA from 1 species
CGGACGGGUGAGUAAUGUAUGGGGAUCUGCCUGAUGGCGGGGGAUAACUACUGGAAACGGUAGCUAAUACCGCAUAACGUCGCAAGACCAAAGAGGGGGACCUUCGGGCCUCUUGCCAUCGGAUGUGCCCAGAUGGGAUUAGCUAGUAGGUGGGGUAACGGCUCACCUAGGCGACGAUCCCUAGCUGGUCUGAGAGGAUGACCAGCCACACUGGAACUGAGACACGGUCCAG